CUACCCAAAUCCCCUGGCCACUGGCCCCUGCGUUUCCUAUCGUUUCGGUUCGGCGCAGGCGCCGCUACCGCCUCCUCUCGACCGCUCGCCUUCCCGUUCGCCAUGUCGUUGCUCGCCGCGGCCAUUCCCAGCACUUCCUCCCACUUCUCCGCACCCUUCCUCCCCUCAUUCCACAUGCCCCGCAAGAACCUCACCGCCCCACUCCACCGGAUCCGCCGUCCGCGGCCGUUCACCGUCGUCUCCUCCGUCCCAGACCCCGCGGCGGGGCCGGUGGAAUACACGCCCUGGCUCAUCGCCGGCCUCGGCAACCCAGGCAACAAGUACUACGGCACGCGGCACAAUGUGGGGUUUGAGAUGGUGGAUCGCAUCGCGGCGGAGGAGGGGAUUACGAUGAACACAAUCCAGUCCAAGUCGCUUCUGGGAAUUGGUUCAAUUGGCGAGGUGCCAGUCUUGGUGGUAAAACCGCAAUCAUACAUGAACUACAGUGGAGAGGCAAUUGGACCUCUUGCAGCCUAUUAUCAAGUACCAUUACGGCACAUCCUCUUGAUUUAUGAUGAUACAAGUCUGCCCAAUGGUGUACUGCGGCUUCAAAAGAAAGGUGGUCAUGGUCGCCACAACGGGCUACAGAAUGUGAUUGAGCAUUUGGAUGGUCGCAGAGAAUUUCCUCGUUUAUCUAUAGGCAUUGGUAGCCCACCUGGAAAAAUGGACCCUCGGGCUUUCCUUCUGCAGAAGUUCAGUUCAGAGGAACGAGUCCAGGUUUGUAAUACACGCGGGUAAAUGGGUGCAGGUUUAAUAUUACCUUGCGGGUAUGGAUUAGUAAACCCUCUACCCGCGGGUUUCAUACCCAUUGCCAUUCCAAGGAGAUUUUUGAAUCCCAGCUUGAAAAUCGCUCGCACCAGGAGUUGAAGCUAGAGACCUGUUCACAACAAUACCAAAUCAAACUGUUGUUAAUAUGUGUGUGUGUGUGGAGCAGUGUUUAACAUCUCAUUUUUACUGUUUCAAAAUCUCGUUUUGACCAAAAAAGUUCACUUUUGUGUUGUUAAAUUUGAAGAGCAUAUUGGGCUUCUCAAACUUUACUUUAUCACCCUAGGAUAACUGUUGUUUACUUAACAUCGAGCUACUGAUUCUGUAGUAGUCCACCCUUUUCUAGUACGAACUAUAUGAUAUAACUGCUCUUGGAUUGUUGAUUUAUACCUGCUUUAUAAAUUUGAUGAAGAUCGACACUGCUCUGGAGCAAGGGGUGGACGCUGUGAGAACCCUUGUGCUUAAGGGUUUUAGUGGGAGUACUGAAAGAUUCAACCUUGUGCAGAAGUACAAGUUCCACAGGGUUUGAAUGUUUGAGGAUCUGUGAAAUACUUGGGCUUACUUCUGCAAACAACCUGAUACACAUCAAUAUCAUUUGAAGUGUUGGAUGUGGUGAUUUGCUGUUCUGAACUAUGCAUGAGCUUACAAGUUCGAUGAAUCUGUUUGUUAAUCAGUAUAGCUGACAAUUGGCAACCUUCUAUUGUUCCUUCGGUUUUUGCAUAACACUCUAGGAUCUGGAGAAACGGCAACCAGUACUUAGCUCCACUUGACUAUAAUCUGUAGAAGCCAGAGAUAACUUGUGAUGUGAUAUAUCCAAAUAACAAUAAGGGGGCUUGUCUAAUACAUCGAACAAGAUGUGAUGUUCGUCAAAGGAGUAGUUCUGACUUCAGUUUCAAGACAUAAAAACAUCUAAUAAUCGCACUUCCACUGCCUUUUGCUGUUAAAGAACAUGUGCCUAGUUCUUUUCAAAUUGAGAAGUGGGCUCUAAAGUUUUACAUGUUACAUUUAUAAAGCCCUUUCUUCCACCA